UCUGACCAUUCUAAAUAUUUAGAUCCACCAACUCUCAGGCUCUGCCUUGUUCCAUGGCUUCCCUGCCCCAGGGCAGUCCAUAGAAUCGGGACCUGAAGACAAAGGGUCAGAGAAAAAUGUGCCCUGAGGGUUGUGGGAAGCCUUCUGUGACACCCACAGGAAGACACAGGUCUCAAGUUCUAGCAGAAACCAGACGGGAAUUGGAGCUCUUGUGUGGGGGUGUCCUGAGACCAGGGUGCCACCCUGUUCUUGUCCCAGCACCGGAUAGACUUCCUGCCUGAGAGCCAGGCCUGCCUCUGUCCUCUGAGGGUGAUGGAAGUUCUCAUCCACUGAGACUAGUUAGAACAAACUAAUGGAUGGACUGGAUCAUGAAGCAUCAUGUGCCCGCGCUAGGGACCUGUACUCCAUGACCUCUUGCGACGGGGACCAGCAGCAUGAGAGCAUUUGAUGUCACACAUCUCCAAGAGCCCGUGUUUUAAAGCCCACACAGACGUCCAACCUUAUACACACUCACCAAAGGAGCAGGCUGCAGGUCAGUGAGGACAGCUGACUUCCGAGAGGUGUCGACCUGACGGUGAGAGGAGCAGAGGAAGCAGACUUGACUGCUCUGGUGGCUUCUGUGGAGGAACAAGCUCACAGAGGAGCAGGGCUUCUCCGGUUGGUGGCUGGCACAUCAAGAAGGACGAGGUUGCUGCGGGCGUGGCCAGGUUAGCAAGGUGCUCCCAGCCCCCCGGGCUGUCCUGACCAAUGAGACAGGACCCACUCACAGCUUCUCUGCACACUGCCUUGGAUGCAGCUGUCUGCGAUGGUAGAGAGCAGAUCCAUAGAGAAAGAGCUGGACCCCUGAAUCCCCAUGUCGGCUCACUCCCUGCCAGUGGCAGCAGAGCAGAACACCUUCCUUCAGCUGCUAUGAGGGAGAAAUCAUUCUCAUUAUUUCUUCAGAUAAUAAUGUCACAUUGUGACCUGCUUAUUAAAAUGCUUGGUGGAGCUGAGGACCCAGGAAGUCUGUACAAAGAAGUGGUGAGCUGCUUCAACACAACUUGAAACACCUGUUGGCAGCAUCACACAAUGUGAGCAGGGAGGGGUGGCCAGCUGGGAAGAUCCCCUAGUUCAGGAGGCACAGGACAUUUGAUAAAGCUGUCUCCUCUUGUCACUUAGAAGGCAGGUGAGACCCCCAAUCUGUGGCUCCACAGAAGAAUCAGGGAAAGGCCGAGUGAUGGAGGCUGUUGCUGUCAGUGCUUUCCAAGUUACUCCAUAAAGUGGGGAGCUCAGCAAGGAUUGGCUGCUCUUCAGCAGAGGAGCUCUGCAGGGUCGGAGAAGCCAGCCACUUUUGUAGUAGGAUUAAGACUGAGAGAUUUGGGCUGGGGACGUGGCCCUGCGGUAGAGCGCUCGCCACACACACGUGAGACCCUGGGUUCGGUCCUCAGCACCACAUACAAAAAUAAACAAGUGAAAUAAAGGUGUUGUGUCCAGCUACAACUAAAAAUAAAUAAACAAACAAAUAAAUAAAAAGACUGAAAGAUUUGACUGACACCGGCUUUGAGACCUGUCAGAGCGCAAGGGAUUCGUGCUCCGGGGUGAAGAUCAGGUUAAGGAUGUGGCCUUCCCAUCAAGCCUAGUGUUUCACCCAAGUCCAGGUCUUCAUCUGACAGAAGGAGGUCAGGAAGGAUAACAGAGAGCAGAGAUGGAAGCGAUCCACAAAGGCAGGAAAAGGGACUCUGGUGUGGUCUCCGGCAGCAGCAGCCCACUGGAAGGGAUCUCCAAAGCCCAGGAUGCUUUUGGAGUCUGAAUUAGACCCUAACUAGAAAGUGGGCUGUGAUGGCUACAGACCCCGAGGGGGGUGUUUCCUGGUGCUCAGUCCAGACGUCAGGGAGGUGCUGGACACGUCCCCUUUGGGACAGACCUGCAGUACUCGGGAAUGACCCAGUGCUUCCUGUUACUGUCAGGAGACUGUGUUGCCACUUCAGGUUGUGCCCCUCUAUUUGGACUGGGAAAAUCCUGUUGCUGCCCCAUGAUUUACCUUUGGUGGGAUGGGCGCUGAGGGAAUGUAAUCAGCAUUUGUUUAGUCAUGGGUCUUAGUCCAAGAAAAAAACAUCUCUCGGCUUGGCACGGCCCAGAAAAUAUCAUGCCCAUGUCCUGAAUUGUGAACUGAAUGCAGUAACAUGAAGGAACUUCAGUCUCUUCCUUGGAGAGGGCUUUUUUGGUUUCUUCUAUGGAGAAACAUAGAUGAGGUAUUCAGUGACCAGGAGAGUGCUCACUGUUCCCCACAUCAGGGUUCCCAGCUUCCUGUGACACCCAGAUGAACUCUGUUCUCCAACCUCCUUUGUAACCCUAAUAGUCACGUGACCCGGGUCCUCGAGGAGGCCACAGGCAGACCUGGGGCCGUGGCGGGGGAUCUGUGGAGGCUGGAGUGCAGGUCUGCCUGUGUUCACCUGGGUGGUGCCUUGUGCGUAGAGACUGCUGUAGACGCCCCUCAGUGCUCCUGCAGGCUCUGGCUUUCCAUGUGGGAUGCAGGUGGUGCCUGCACUUGAGGGAGGGUGAGGGGGUGCUCUGACCAGAGUGCCGACCUCAGACUGUCACCAGAGAAAGCUGCAGCGGAGAACUGGGAGUAGCGUAAGAGGAGCCCCUGUGUGGUAAGAGGUCGAGCAGCUGAAGUGCUGGAAAGGAGGCCCAGCGUGUGCGCGGUGGCUACUGACACCACUCCUCGGUGCUCAGGAGAGCUUGGCACGCCCUGUGUUCAGUACGUGUGUCACUUUAUCAGGGCAGCCCCCACACAGGCCAGUCACAAACUAUGGCAGACAGGAAUCUGUUCCUCACAGGUCUGGAAGCUGAAAGGUGCAGACAGCGGUGACGGUGGGGAUGGUCUCUCUGAGGUUGCCCUCCUCGGCUUGUGGAUGCCAUCUUCUCCCUGUGUCCCCACAUGGCCUUUUCCUGAUGUCUCUUCAUCUGCUUGGAAGGACACUGGUCUUGUUGGAUCAGAUGUCACCCUGUGGCCUUGCUUUACCUUGAUGACCUCUCUACAGACCCCAUCUCCACCUAAGGCUACACCCUGGAGUCCUGGGUCAGCACUGUAACGAGUCUCUUGAGGGUGGAACACAGUUCAACACCUAGGAGUAAGAAAAGACGUUUGAGCCUGGGGCUGGGGACUGGAUGAAGAGGCAGAGCACAGGGCUGUCGGGUGCUGGCUCACGCCCUGGGGCACUUCUCCUUUCACAGGUUGCUCAACAUCCCUCGCAGGCAGGGCCUGCAUCCCCUCCUUUUAGUCUCAGAACUCAGGAGCCACGAUGCCGAGGUGGAAGCUCAGAGCAGCUGAGUCAGAACCAUGACCCCUGGAUGAUGGCCUGGGGGAAGAGUGUUGCCUUCAGGUGAACUGAAGGUGUCUGUUCAGUGGUGUCUCUAGUUUUCCUCCAGCCGUAGCAUCUAAGAGACCAUGAUGUAUUAUUCUGACCUUGAAAAUACUGGCAGUCUCUCAAGAGUUUCGUCUGAGGAGAGUGCUAAGCCUGGGCCAAGAGCCAAUGUUUCAAGGCUAAAGUAACAUAGCUAAUAUUUCAGAAAUUAUUCUCGUAGAAACAUCACAUUUAUUUGGGCACAUUCUUUGUUAGUUUGAAGAUUGUCCUUCUAGAAAUUGCAUGUGCUUCUCAUUGAUGUGAGUAGGGCAAUGAGUUUGUACCUACUGGGUUUUCAAAAUUCAGCCACGUUCAGUUUUGGAUCUGUCCUGUGAUACUUAUUUCAAGAGGCUUUACAAUUAUAAUAUCCUGUGUUUUCUAACUCUUCAAGUCAGGAUUGGAUAGGUGAAUCUCCCUUUUUUGUGCACUAAACUCAGGGACAAAGAAAGUCUGCUAAUGAGCUUUCUUAAUCUGGCAAGUCGUUCUUAAAAGCCAUCCCGAGUCCUGCGCAGAUUCUGGAAGGUGGCUGACCAUAAGGUGAAGGGUUUGUUUGCUGUUUUUCCUGCAUGCGGGGAGAUGAGGGUGGGUGGAGACUGCCAUUCAUUCCCAGGUUCUACCCUGGCUGGCAUCAGUGUGCCUCUGUCCUGUCCUGGGAGACCCCUGGGUCUUCAGUCUGUACCAUGGCCUCCGAUCGGCAGGAGGCCUUUGCCAAAACCUCUGUCCUUGAUGCUGAUCCAAUACGAGGACACAGUUUUGAAGAACAGGAGAAAAAGUUUGUAGCUUUGCUAGCAAAGAAGAAACAGGGGACUCCGUCCCAAAGGUCAUGAUUCUGCCCCUUCACAGGAACAGGAGCUUUUAUAGAGGUGAUUCACAGAAGAAGACAUCAGUGAGGAGAG